rnacentral:rRNA from 1 species
UACAGAGGUCCCAAGCGUUGUUCGGAUUCAUUGGGCGUAAAGGGUGCGUAGGCGGCGCGGUAAGUCGGGUGUGAAAUCUCGGAGCUUAACUCCGAAACUGCAUUCGAUACUGCCGUGCUUGAGGACUGGAGAGGAGACUGGAAUUUACGGUGUAGCGGUGAAAUGCGUAGAUAUCGUAAGGAAGACCAGUGGCGAAGGCGGGUCUCUGGGCCUUACCUGACGCUGAGGAGCGAAAGCGUGGGGAGCGAACAGG